rnacentral:tRNA from 2 species
GGUUCCGUAGCUCAACUGGAUAGAGCAACAGCCUUCUAAGCUGUAGGUUUUGGGUUCGAGCCCCAACGGAAUCA